CUGUAGGCAAGCUCUAGUCUGGCUAAACCAGCAAGCUUCUCUGCUAUUCGAGAGCCAAGCCACAGCCUCUCCAAUGAGGCAGGAACCUCUCCCAAGCAUGCCUUUCCUCUCAAUACUAAAGUAUCCUAUAGAUUUUCCUUACAUCUUAUAGUCACUGUCUACAAAGAAAGAUUUGCUACGGGAACAGAGAAACACGUUACCUCUCAGAGCAUGGCUCCGUGGCUUAUCUGACAGACCCUCCAGCUCUCAGCUAUUUUGGACACUGGAAAGCCAAAUAUGUGUGUAAAUACGUCGUCCAAGGUCCACGCUCCCUUCCUGACAUCUUCUAUAUGCUUAUCUCAUGGGACAUGUUACAUACCUUUAUGAAGAGUGAUGAUUUGCAGCCAAUGAUAUUCCAACUCAAACACAAUGACCUGGCCAGAAACAGAGAAGACAUCCACAGUUCAAGAAGAGAUCUGUGGGCUGCACCACCACCACCACCACCCGCACCCCUAGGAAAGAAGGGCUCACAUACCCUCCCAUUCCAUGUAGGGAGUUUGCGACUCUGCUGAGAAGGUGUCUGAGGCAUCUUCCACCAUCCCCACUCUGCAGGAAGCAUCUCAAACCACAGAGAGAUGCUCCCUGCAUCUUAGAAAAUAAAGCAAAAGAGGAUGGCUCCCCCAUUGCUUGGCCUUUGAGUCAACUCUGUUUAACUGAGAAAAGCACCAUUUUGAGCAGCAUGGAGGAGACUCAAGCAGAGAUGAAACCUGGGCUGGCUCCAAAAUAGGAAGUACAUUAUUAUCUAUAUAUGACUUAAUGUCACAGCAGCAGCCCUUAGAAAACAGGAAGAGAUAGACACAGACAGGGGAAAAAACAGAGCCAUAGUUCACAUCUAAUAAUUGUGACUAUUGAUCUAACAACCCAUAAACAGAGACUGCUCCCUGGAAAUGAUGGUGUACAGCCCCCUGCAUUAUAGGAGAGGUUUUUCAGGACAGGCUGGUAAGAAUUGGAGCUAGUGUGGUCCUUUUCCUGGAUGUGGAGCUGGAAAGAGUGUCUGCACAGCCUCCACCUGCACUCCUGGAGCUUCCCGAGGGCCCAGAACAAGCAUUUCCCCCACAAGUGACGAUGGCAGGAGACCUCACAAGGAUCUCUGUGAUGCUGAUGCUCUCCCUACUUACAACUUUGAUACUUUGUUCCACAUGGAAUUGUUUGCCUUUGUUUUUAUUUUUGACACACUGCAAUCAACUAUUAAACUGACGACUCCAUCCUAGGUGCCUCUUAAGUUGUGUGCCCAUGGUGAGUCCCCCUCUCAACCCACAACUUUGGAAGGCACAAACAUGACAGUGAUGGAGGAUGAAAAAUACAGUUGUUCUAAGUAAUGAAGGCUGGGAGACAAAUGGGGUACGCUAGUGGAAAGUAGUACAUUCAAGAGAGAGACGAGGCGAACCAAAUGCAACACUGGCAACACAGACCAGGUGCUACUAACUCCUUUAGGCCGGUGUCCCAUUGCCCUGAACGUGCCACUUUUUCACUGGGAGAGGGAGGUGUCCGUGUCUCCCACUUUGCCAUCAGUAAUGUCCCGCUGGUUAUGUGUCUAAGACUCGUGUUCAGCUAGGUUGGUUUAGGGGCUGAGUGAUCUAGGCUUUGGAAGAACCAAAUGAUGCAGAUGCACAUGGCUUCCACUCCCUGUCUGUCUCCCUGGCAUCAGUGAGUAGGCACCUCACUGGCUCUGCCUGAGCCACAGGGAGCAUGCAGUUUUAAACAGGAAAGUGACUGAUGCAGAGCCAACUUUGAUGCAACUGGUCCACACAAGCAAGACAGAACUAAGUUGGCAUGUGCAGCAUGGCCACGCCUCAGUGUCUCCUCCCCUCCCCAAGACCCCCGGAAUCUCCAGAACCCAGCAGCCACAAGUAAAUACCUGCCUGGCACUGACAUGACCUGCUCUGAUUUGUUGGUACUUGUACCUCUUCUGUUGUUAAAUAUUAUAAGAAACACUCCUGGCCACAAGAGACAUACAAAUGAAACCUUGCCAAAGCCCAGAGGAAGGGGGCUUCAGGAGCCUUCCUAGAGGAAAGGACAGAUGAACUGAACUGGGCACUGCAGGAUGUGUAAGAAUCUGAUGGGCAGAAGUGGCACUAAAAAGCAAGGUGGGACGGCUGGGAAACUCAGAGGGGCCAAAGAUGACAUCUGCAUGCUCCACUGCCCCUGCAGGGAGAGGGCUCCAGGCAGCUGUGGAUCGGGGGUGUGGAGGAUACUGGAAACAUAAGCUGGCAGGAGCGCACAAGACACCCGAGCUCUCAUGGUGAAGAUACGGGCCUUGCCUACAGCCGGGGAGGGCCCCCAGCAGCCUGAGUGCUGCGGGAACGAAGGGCCAAAGCAGAAAGGUGUGAGGCUCCUCAGGGCACUGCUACCCCCCCCCCCACCAUUCUGUGAGGGGCCUGGCCCAAAUGUGUCCCCCCCGCUUGGCUAAGGAGGCCCUCAAAGACAAAUUUGUCUCUAUAUCCUAAGAGGACUUUGAUUUGCCUUUUUUCUCCAAAGUCAGUCUGAACACACUUCAUUAAGAUAAAUUAACGGAGGAGUUUCCUGUA